AUUGAACGCUGGCGGCAGGCUUAACACAUGCAAGUCGAGCGAGCGGCGGACGGGUGAGUAAUUUCUGGGCACCUGCCUGAUGGAGGGGGAUAACUACUGUAAACGGUAGCUAAUACCGCAUACCAUCAGAUCUGCUCCGAGUGGAUUAGCUAGUAGGUGGGGUAAUGGCUCACCUAGGCGACGAUCCCUCGCUGGUCUGAGAGGAUGACCGGCCACACUGGAACUGAGACACGGUCCAGACUCCGACGGGAGGCAGCAGUGGGGAAUAUUGCACAAUGGGCGCAAGCCUGAUGCAGCCAUGCCGCGUGUGUGAAGAAGGCCUUCGGGUUGUAUAGCACUUUCAGCGGGGAGGCGGUACUCGAAGAAGAAGCACCGGCUAACUCCGUGCCAGCAGCCGCGGUAAUUC
rnacentral:rRNA from 1 species